GCCGAAGUGGUGGAACGGCAGACACGGUCGCCUCAAAAGCGACUGCCUUCGGGCGUGUGGGUUCAAAUCCCACCUUCGGCA
rnacentral:tRNA from 1 species